GACGUAGGGCGCGAGCGUUGUCCGGAUUUAUUGGGCGUAAAGAGCUCGUAGGCGGCUUGUCGCGUCGAAUGUGAAAACUCGGGGCUCAACUCCGAGCUUGCAUUCGAUACGGGCAGGCUAGAGUUCGGUAGGGGAGACUGGAAUUCCUGGUGUAGCGGUGAAAUGCGCAGAUAUCAGGAGGAACACCGGUGGCGAAGGCGGGUCUCUGGGCCGAUACUGACACUGAGGCACGAAAGCGUGGGGAGCGAACAGG
rnacentral:rRNA from 1 species